GGAGAGGGAGAGAGUAUUCACCCUGCAGACCCUAAUUGACAAACAACCAUACCAUAACAAAGGGACAUGGGGGGGAGACAGGGAUGCAGUUUGAGCCCCACCUUCAACGUAUUGUCAUGCCUGCUCCCUGGCACUCGAGGACACCAGGCUACCUGUCUUUACACACACCUGUAACCAUCAUUACGUACAGCAGCGCUCAUUGGACUCACCUGGAUUCCUUCACGUGGUUGAUUGCCCCUGAAUAUCUGUCUGUUCCUCUGUGGUGUUCCCUGUGUCCGCAUUAGUUAUUGUUAUGUGUUCCAGUCCAGAUGCUGUUCCUGUUCUGUUUCAUGUCAGUUAUUAAACCUUCACUCCCUGUACCUGCUUUUCAUCUCCUGCAUCAAUCCUUUCAGAAUGCGGACACCAUUACAAGAAGCAUCAGGGAGUUUUUUAGGGUUUUGUUUUGUUGGUGACCUCGGACCCCGGGGCCGCCGCCGAUGGAACCGGGGGUGCCCUAGCUGACUCGUUGGGCUGUCAUGCCCUACCUGGCUCGAGAGGUUUCCUAGCCCCGGUUGGCUUGGAGGGUCUCCAUCCCAUAUCAUGCUUCAGCUGGCCCAUUGGGCUUCUAUGCUGCACCGGGAUCGUCAGGCUGACACGCCUCGGCUGGCCUGUCAGGCUUGCCCAGAUGGUACCAGGUGGCUCGCCCAGGGGUACUGUCUUACCUACUCCUGCUCCCCCUCCCUGGCGCUCGGGGGCACCAGGCUACCCAUCUUUACACACAACUGUCACCAUCAUUUCGCAAAGCAGUGCUCAUUGGACUCACCUGGACUCCUUCACGUGGUUGAUUGCCCCUGUGUAUCUGUCUGUUCCUCCGUGGUGUUCCCUGUGUCCGUAUUAAGUUUUAUGUGUUCCUGUCCAGAUGCUGUUCCUGUUCUGUUUCAUGGCCGUCAGUUAUUAAACCUUCAUUCCCUGUA